UGUGGAAGAGGCCCACUGCACCCAAAACAGAGGAUAUCGCAGCGAAGAAGGUGUCUGUGAUUGCACCCUCCACGUCAAAAGCUGGAAUUAAACGACCUGUCACCCAGGAGGACAGAGAAUGGGCACUGUCAUCUUUGGCACAACUUGACCGUUUUACAGGCCUGGGUUGGAUUUUAGCUCCAGAAGUGCCUCAGACAUUUGACCCAUGCCACCACAGGAAAACUUUUGAUGGGAUUCUGGCCAGCUCCGGUUAUGGUGAUGCAGAGCACAAAGCUCUGUAUAUGCUCUCAUCCCUUGCUGUGAGCCCACAGCAGAAGAAAGACAUUGAGAGAGCCACAGUUGGGCAAACUAAGAAUGCCUUAUGGAUGGCAUAUCGCAAGAACAGGCUCACAGCCAGCACCUUUGGUUUUGUAUUGGCAGCGGUGAAGAGGAAUUCUUACCCGCCUUCUUUAUUCAAAACACUGCUCGGUCAGUACAACCUCAAACAAGGAGCUCAUGCUUGUGAUUGGGGAAUUGUUCAUGAGCAAAAGGCCAAAGAAGAAUACAUGAAGCGCACUAGUGUGACCAUCCAGGAGAGCGGAGUGUUCCUCUCUGAUAGCGGCCUGCUUGGUGGCUCCCCAGAUGGGAUGGUAUCCGAUGACUGCAUCAUUGAGAUAAAAUGUCCCUAUGCAGCCAGACAGAAGACCGUAAUUCAGGCAGCAGAGGCAAAGGACUUUUUUCUCAAACAGGAUGAAGUCACUGGGUUACUGACACUGAAGCAGACCCACAACCACUGGCAUCA